GCGCGCCCAGGAUCGCGGAUCGAUUUUUCACCGAGGGUGGGCAGGGAAGGGAUCCGCGCGCUGCUCGCGUUUCCUAUCCUUUCCCAGAGCUUCAGGUUUCCGUGGGUCAGGUUCCGGCUGAAAGAGGUGACACGCUUCUCAGCAAGUUUCUUGAACUCUCGCAACCUCUUGGCAGGAGGAGGAAAGAAGGAAACAGACCUACUGCGUGCCCCUUUGCGUUCAUUGUUUACAGAAUAGUCUUCACAGAUCUACAAACUAGUUGACAGGUUAAUUUCAGAGCCGAGUGAUGUCUGCCAAGGUCAGUGACCAGCUGAACCAACUCAGCUAGUGACUUUCAGAACACUCAUUUCUCAAGAAUACUGAGGGACUGGCCUAAAUGGAAGAGCUGAGCAGGCGGAGGCAAUCCUAUGCAGUUCCACUUUUAAAGAUGACUGUAGGGCGAGGUGCGAUGGCUCACACCUGUAAUCCUGUGCUCCAGGAUUUGGGAAGCCGAGGUAGGAGGAUCCUUGCAGCCAAGAG